GAAAUCAAGAGUAUAUGGUGGAUGCCUAGACUUUAGAAGGCGAUGAAGGACGUAGCAUGGCGACGAUAUGCUUCGGGGAGGUGCCUAGCAACCUUUGAUCCGAAGAUUUCCGAAUGGGGGAACCUAAUUCCGGUAACACGGAAUUGCCUGCGAUCAAUCGCAGAGCGUGCACCCUGGGAAGUGAAACAUCUCAGUACCAGGAGGAAAAUAAACUAAUCAGUAUUCCCUUAGUAGCGGCGAGCGAAAAGGGAGAAGCCCAAACCGGCGAUUUCGCGAGUAGCGAGGCGCGACUGGGGUUGUAAGGCAGAGACGUAGUUUACUAGGAAAGUUACAAAAGAUUUUGUUAAGCGAAAUUGCUGGGAAGCAAUGCCACAGAAGGUAAUGGCCCUGUAGCUGAAAAUAAAAUCUCUUUCUUGUCUCUGAUCUUGAGUACCUCGAGGAACGACAGCCUUGAGGGAAUCCGCCGGCACUAACCGGCAAGGCUAAAUACUUCUAGAGAUCGAUAGUGAACUAGUACCGUGAGGGAAAGGUGAAAAGUAGCCCGAUGAGGGCGUUGAAAUAGAACCUGAAACCAUAUACUUACAAGGAGUCGGAACGGAGCAAUCCGCGACGGCGUGCCUAUUGAAGAAUGAGCCAACGAGUUUAUGCUUAUUGCUUGAUUAAUCCGCGAUGGCGGGUAGUCGAAGGGAAACCGAGUAUUAAUAGUGCGUUUUCUUGUUUUUUAAAUCCGAGCUCGUGCUUUCGAGCCUGGAUUUAAGAAACUUGAAAGGUAUUAAGCAUAAGACCCGAAGCCAGGUGAGCUUGCCAUGAGCAGGGUGAACCAAACAGAAAUGUUUGGGGAGGCCCGAACCGAUAAGCCGUGCAAUACUUUCGGAUGACUUGUGGUAAGGAGUGAAAAGCUAAUCGAACCUGGUAAUAGCUGGUUCUCUCCGAAA
rnacentral:rRNA from 1 species